UGUCUCCUCCGCCUCCUCCUUUGGUGGAUUAAACCCGAACCGCUCGUUCGGGUUUUUUUUC
rfam:Burkholderia sp. OLGA172 chromosome 1, complete sequence.